rnacentral:ncRNA from 1 species
AUAUUCAUAAGGGAAAUUGUUCUGAAGAUACCCCCACAGGGAUAAAUGGCUUGUGGCUGCCAAACAUUCAUAGCGAUGUUGCUUUUUGAUCCUUUGAUGUCAGCUCUUCCUAUCAUUGUGAAGCAGAAUUCUCCAAGCAUUGGAUUGUUCACCCACUAUUAGGGAAAGUGAGCUGGGUUUAGACAGUCAUGAGACAGUUAGUUUUACCCUACUGAGGAUGUGUUGUUGCCACGGUAAUCUUGCUCAGUACGAGAGGAAUCGCAGGUUCAGACAUUUGGUGUAUGUGAUUGGCUGAGGAGCCAAUGGGGCAAAGCUACCAUCUGUGGGAUUAUGACUAAAUGCCUCUAAGUCAGAAUCCCGCCCAGGUGAUAUCCCUAUCUUUGUUGGGUCUUUCUGUGUUUUAGGUAUCAGAGUAACUGUGGCUUCAUAUAAUGAGUUGGGUAGAGUACAUUCUGCUUCUAAAGAACUGGAAUUAGAUCUUCUUUGAAGGUCUGAUAGAACUCUGCACUAAACCCAUCUUGUCCUGGGCUUU